UACGUAGGGGGCAGGCGUUAUCCGGAAUUACUGGGUGUAAAGGGAGCGUAGACGGUAAUGUAAGUCUGGAGUGAAAGGCGGGGGCCCAACCCCCGGACUGCUCUGGAAACUAUGUUACUAGAGUGCAGGAGAGGUAAGCGGAAUACCUAGUGUAGCGGUGAAAUGCGUAGAUAUUAGGAGGAACACCAGUGGCGAAGGCGGCUUACUGGACUGUAACUGACGUUGAGGCUCGAAAGCGUGGGGAGCAAACAGG
rnacentral:rRNA from 1 species